AGGUUUGUAGUUACAGCUCUGCUUUAUUGGUCCAAACUUUCACAGUCUUUACUACAGGAUUAGCUGAUUUUAGUUUCUGCCUAUAGGUUGGAAGUAUAUGAACAAGACAGUGAUCAGAGAGUCCCAAAGCUGCUCUAGGGACAGAGCGAUAUGCAUCCAUUAUUGUUGUGUAGCAGUGAUCCAAUGUAUUUCUCUCUCUGGUGGGGCAUGUAAUGUGCUGUCUGUAUGACUUCCUUUCUUCCGUGGAACGCAAAAAGAGAUGUUUGGCAGAAGUCACUAUUCAUAUCUGUUGCAUCUUUUGUCCAUAGUAUAAAAGUAAAUGGUGACUGAGGCUGUCAUUCUGCCUAAUAUCUUCUUUUGUGUUCUACAAAAGAAAGUCAUACUAGUUUGGAGCAACAUGAGGGUGUCAGUGAUGACAGAAUAAUUUUUUGGGGGGAGGUGAACUAUCACUUUAAUACUUGUGUUACUAAAGAGUAAAAAGUGUUUCAUCAAUACUGGAAAUUGGUCCGGCUGUCAGAGGACAGUUGCACAACUUCAUGGUUUCUAAAAAAGUUGAGGUUAAGGCAAUGCUAUCUGAUGGUGCAAUUUUACACUUCAACUACUGUUAAGGACUAAGUCUAUGUGUAAUAUUAUGGAAUCACUGCUUAAUAGGCUAAAACAAACAAUCCACAGUAAAUGUAGAUUUAACUUUAAAUUUGUCUAAUAAUUUUUAUUCAUUUCUCUAUGUAGACUACAUUCAUACAUCAGAAUACAACAACAUUUCGGUAACAGCUUGGAUCUAAACAUGCUGAGCUACGUUGACGUCUCCACGUGACUUGUAGAUGAUCAAAACAUCAUCUUAACCACAGGAAAUACCUUUAGACAGGUGUCCAGUGUAAACCCUGUCCUCGAAACUGGAUUCAAAAUGGCUCCAACUGUUACUAUUUUCACUUAGGAGUUUGGUAUACUUGGAAAACGAGGUGGAUGAGUGAAGAAUUCUGCAAGAGGUUUGGAGCUCAUCUGACCAUAAUAGACAAUGUGGAGGAACAGAUUCUGGAAGGAGAUUCUGGAUACCCCCUCAAGAUCUAAUCAAGAUUGUGUUCUGUCAAUGGUAAACGAACCUACUCUGAAGAGCUGGCAUGCAGAGGAUUGCUUCAUGCUCAACAGAUGGAUCUGCAAAAUGACUGUUUUAUCGUGGCCAAAGCUACUUCAAGCCCAGAUAAACCACAGCAAACUUUCAACAUUUUGAAAAGAAACCAGUGCAAAAGAUGACUGUUUCAAGAAGUUUUGUGGAAUUGGUAUAUUUUUGCAUCCAUUUCAUAUUUGAUCUAUUUGCAACAUUUUUAGCAUAAAGUUCAAAACAGCACCAACCCGCAUCUCAGAACAGCAUUCUGAGAUGCUAUUCUUCUCACCACAAUUGUACAGAGCGGUUAUCUGAGUUAACGUAGACUUUGUCAGUUCGAACCAGUCUGGCCAUUCUCUGUUGACCUCUCUCAUCAACAAGGCAUUUCCAUUCUGUUCAUAUAUGUUCAGCAUUUAAAGGUUAUGGCUGUUACAUGAUAUAAAUGUUAUAAUAUUUAAAUUAAACAUUAAGUAAAUAACAAAAAAGUUGUUAAUCACAAAAUAAAAUAAAAGAA